rnacentral:rRNA from 1 species
GGUUAAGCUGGUAAGGGCGUACGGUGGAUGCCUUGGCGCCGGGGGCCGAUGAAGGACGUGGCAAGCUGCGAUAAGCCUCGGGGAGCCGCAAGCAGGCGUUGAUCCGGGGAUUUCCGAAUGGGGGAACCUGGCGGGGGAGAACCCCCGUCAUCCUGUGCUGAACACAUAGGCGCAGGAGGGGCACCGGGCGAACUGAAACAUCUUAGUAGCCCGAGGAAGAGAAAUCAACCGAGAACCCCUGAGUAGUGGCGAGCGAAAGGGGGCGAGCCCAAACCGGCCGCGUGUUAAAGGCUGCCGCCGUUGCGCGGUCGGGGUAGCGGGCCGGGGCCGGAGGCUGCGGCAGCGGCCUCGGGAGAUAACCGGUUCUAGGGGAAGCGGACUGGAACGUCCCGCCGCAGAGGGUAAAAGCCCCGUACCCGAAAGGGCCGGGAGGCUUCUGGGUUCCGGGCCCAAGUACCGCGGGACACGUGGAACCCCGCGGGAAUCAGGGGGGACCACCCUCCAAGGCUAAACACUCCCGGCGACCGAUAGUGCACGAGUACCGUGAGGGAAAGGUGAAAAGCACCCCGGGAGGGGAGUGAAACAGAACCUGAAACCGUAUGCCUACAAGCAGUCAGAGGGCGUUAAUGCCUGAUGGCGUACUUUUUGUAGAACGGGCCGGCGAGUUACUGUUCGCGGCGAGGUUAAGGGAUAAAGUCCCGGAGCCGCAGCGAAAGCGAGUCCGAAGAGGGCGCUGAGUCGCGGGCAGUAGACCCGAAACCGGGUGAGCUACCCAUGCCCAGGGUGAAACGGGAGUAAAGUUCCGUGGAGGCCCGAACCGACCGUCGUUGAAAAGGCGGCGGAUGAGGUGUGGGUAGGGGUGAAAUGCUAAUCGAACCCGGAGAUAGCUGGUUCUCCCCGAAAUAGCUUUAGGGCUAGCCUCGGGGCGAGCGUGCUGGUGGUAGAGCACUGAUUGGGCUAGGGGCCUUCACCGGUUACCGAACCCAUUCAAACUCCGAAUGCCGGUACGCGGUCCCCGGGAGUCAGACCGUGGGGGAUAAGCUUCAUGGUCGAGAGGGGAACAGCCCAGACCGUCGGCUAAGGUCCCCAAGGGUAGGCUAAGUGGGAAAGGAUGUGGGGCUGCUCAAACAGCCAGGAUGUUGGCUUAGAAGCAGCCAUCAUUUAAAGAGUGCGUAAUAGCUCACUGGUCUAGCGGCCCUGCGCCGAAAAUUUAGCGGGGCUCAAGCCUACCACCGAAGCCGCGGCAGCGCGCGAGCGCUGGGUAGGGGAGCGUUCCGUAGGCGCCGAAGCCGUACCGAGAGGAGCGGUGGAGCGUGCGGAAGUGAGAAUGCCGGCAUAAGUAAGCGAUAAGGCAGGUGAGAAUCCUGCCCGCCGAAAGCCUAAGGUUUCCUGGGGAAGGCUCGUCCGCCCAGGGUUAGCCGGGACCUAAGCCGAGGCCGAAAGGCGUAGGCGAUGGACAAGGGGUUGAAAAUCCCCUGCCACCAGUCCACCGCUUGAGGAUGGGGUGACGCAGGAGGGUAGGUCGAGCGCGCGGCUGGAAAAGCGCGUCCAAGCCGGUAGGGUGCGGGGCAGGCAAAUCCGUCCCGCGGAAAGCCCGAGAGGCGAUGGGGAGGGAAAUUAGAGUACCGAAGCGACCGAGCCCAUACUGCCGAGAAAAGCCUCUAACGAUGGGGGGCUGGUGCCCGUACCGCAAACCGACACAGGUAGGCGGGGUGAGGAUCCUAAGGCGCGCGAGAGAACCCUCGUCAAGGAACUCGGCAAAUUGACCCCGUAACUUCGGGAGAAGGGGUGCCCCGUGUAGCGUGAAGGGCCUUGCGUCCGGAGCGCGAGGGGGUCGCAGAGAAAUGGCCCAGGCGACUGUUUACCAAAAACACAGGUCCCUGCUAAAUCGGAAGAUGAAGUAUAGGGGCUGACGCCUGCCCAGUGCCGGAAGGUUAAGGGGAAGGGUUAGGGGGCAACCCCGAAGCUCUGAACCGAAGCCCCGGUGAACGGCGGCCGUAACUAUAACGGUCCUAAGGUAGCGAAAUUCCUUGUCGGGUAAGUUCCGACCCGCACGAAAGGCGUAACGACUUGGGCGCUGUCUCGACGAGGGGCUCGGCGAAAUUGUAGUACCAGUGAAGAUGCUGGUUACCCGCGGCAGGACAGAAAGACCCCGUGGAGCUUUACUGCAACCUGACAUUGGACUUUGGUAUUCCAUGUACAGGAUAGGUGGGAGGCGGAGAAGGAGGGGCGCCAGCCUCUCUGGAGCCGGCGGUGGGAUACCACCCUUGGAGUAUCGGAGUUCUAACCCGCGGCCGUGAUCCGGUCGGGGGACCGUGUCAGGCGGGCAGUUUGACUGGGGCGGUCGCCUCCUAAAAGGUAACGGAGGCGUCCAAAGGUACCCUCAGCGCGGUUGGAAAUCGCGCGUGGAGUGCAAAGGCAGAAGGGUGCUUGACAGUGAGACGGACAUGUCGAGCUGGUGCGAAAGCAGGGCUUAGUGAUCCGGUGGUUCCGUGUGGAAGGGCCAUCGCUCAACGGAUAAAAGCUACCCCGGGGAUAACAGGCUGAUCUCCCCCAAGAGUCCACAUCGACGGGGAGGUUUGGCACCUCGAUGUCGGCUCAUCGCAUCCUGGGGCUGGAGCAGGUCCCAAGGGUUGGGCUGUUCGCCCAUUAAAGCGGUACGUGAGCUGGGUUCAGAACGUCGUGAGACAGUUCGGUCCCUAUCCGCCGCGGGCGCAGGAAACUUGCGGGGGGCUGCCCCUAGUACGAGAGGACCGGGGUGGACAGACCGCUGGUGUACCAGUUGUCCCGCCAGGGGCACCGCUGGGUAGCCAUGUCUGGAAGGGAUAAGCGCUGAAAGCAUCUAAGCGCGAAACCCGCCCCUAGAUUAGGUUUCCCACCGGGUUAACCGGGUAAGACCCCUGGUAGACUACCAGGUUGAUAGGCCGGGCGUGUAAGCCCAGCAAUGGGUUGAGCGGACCGGUACUAAUAGGUCGAGGGCUUAACCCC